GACAGAGGCCCCGAGCGUUAAUCGGAAUCACUGGGCUUAAAGGGUGCGUAGGCCGGUCCGAAAGUGCUUUGUGAAAUCCCACGGCUCAACCGUGGAACUGCUGGGCAUACUGCGGGUCUUGGGCCAACUAGGGGCAGCCGGAACAAGCGGUGGAGCGGUGAAAUGCGUAGAUAUCGCUUGGAACGCCGAAGGUGAAAACAGGCUGCUGGGGUUGCGCCGACGCUGAGACACGAAAGCCAGGGGAGCAAACGGG
rnacentral:rRNA from 1 species